rnacentral:rRNA from 1 species
CAGUCGCCGCGGGAAUACGGAGGGUGCAAGCGUUAAUCGGAAUUACUGGGCGUAAAGCGCACGCAGGCGGUCUGACAAGUCAGAUGUGAAAUCCCCGGGCUUAACCUGGGAACUGCAUUUGAAACUGUCAGGCUGGAGUCUUGUAGAGGGGGGUAGAAUUCCAGGUGUAGCGGUGAAAUGCGUAGAGAUCUGGAGGAAUACCGGUGGCGAAGGCGGCCCCCUGGACAAAGACUGACGCUCAGGUGCGAAAGCGUGGGGAGCAAACAGGAUUAGAUACCCGGGUAGUCCCUGUCUCUUAUAA